AGGCCGAAAGGCGUAGUCGAUGGGAAACAGGUUAAUAUUCCUGUACUUGGUGUUACUGCGAAGGGGGGACGGAGAAGGCUAUGUUAGCCGGGCGACGGUUGUCCCGGUUUAAGCAUGUAGGCUGGUUAUCCAGGCAAAUCCGGAUAAUCAAGGCUGAGGUGUGAUGACGAGGCACUACGGUGCUGAAGUAACAAAUGCCCUGCUUCCAGGAAAAGCCUCUAAGCAUCAGGUAACAUCAAAUCGUACCCCAAACCGACACAGGUGGUCAGGUAGAGAAUACCAAGGCGCUUGAGAGAACUCGGGUGAAGGAACUAGGCAAAAUGGUGCCGUAACUUCGGGAGAAGGCACGCUGGUGUGUAGGUGAAGUCCCUGCGGAUGGAGCUGAGACCAGUCGAAGAUACCAGCUGGCUGCAACUGUUUAUUAAAAACACAGCACUGUGCAAACACGAAAGUGGACGUAUACGGUGUGACGCCUGCCCGGUGCCGGAAGGUUAAUUGAUGGGGUUAUCCGUAAGGAGAAGCUCUUGAUCGAAGCCCCGGUAAACGGCGGCCGUAACUAUAACGGUCCUAAGGUAGCGAAAUUCCUUGUCGGGUAAGUUCCGACCUGCACGAAUGGCGUAAUGAUGGCCAGGCUGUCUCCACCCGAGACUCAGUGAAAUUGAACUCGCUGUGAAGAUGCAGUGUACCCGCGGCAAGACGGAAAGACCCCGUGAACCUUUACUAUAGCUUGACACUGAACAUUGAGCCUUGAUGUGUAGGAUAGGUGGGAGGCUUUGAAGCGUGGACGCCAGUCUGCGUGGAGCCAACCUUGAAAUACCACCCUUUAAUGUUUGAUGUUCUAACGUUGGCCCCUGACCGGGGUUGCGGACAGUGUCUGGUGGGUAGUUUGACUGGGGCGGUCUCCUCCCAAAGCGUAACGGAGGAGCACGAAGGUUAGCUAAUCCUGGUCGGACAUCAGGAGGUUAGUGCAAUGGCAUAAGCUAGCUUGACUGCGAGCGUGACGGCGCGAGCAGGUGCGAAAGCAGGUCAUAGUGAUCCGGUGGUUCUGAAUGGAAGGGCCAUCGCUCAACGGAUAAAAGGUACUCCGGGGAUAACAGGCUGAUACCGCCCAAGAGUUCAUAUCGACGGCGGUGUUUGGCACCUCGAUGUCGGCUCAUCACAUCCUGGGGCUGAAGUAGGUCCCAAGGGUAUGGCUGUUCGCCAUUUAAAGUGGUACGCGAGCUGGGUUUAGAACGUCGUGAGACAGUUCGGUCCCUAUCUGCCGUGGGCGCUGGAGAAUUGAGGGGGGCUGCUCCUAGUACGAGAGGACCGGAGUGGACGCAUCACUGGUGUUCGGGUUGUCAUGCCAAUGGCACUGCCCGGUAGCUAAAUGCGGAAGAGAUAAGUGCUGAAAGCAUCUAAGCACGAAACUUGCCCCGAGAUGAGUUCUCCCUGAGACUU
rnacentral:rRNA from 1 species